rnacentral:rRNA from 1 species
AUGAACGCUGGCGGCGUGCCUAAUACAUGCAAGUCGAGCGAACAGACGAGGAGCUUGCUCCUCUGACGUUAGCGGCGGACGGGUGAGUAACACGUGGAUAACCUACCUAUAAGACUGGGAUAACUUCGGGAAACCGGAGCUAAUACCGGAUAAUAUAUUGAACCGCAUGGUUUAAUAGUGAAAGACGGUUUUGCUGUCACUUAUAGAUGGAUCCGCGCCGCAUUAGCUAGUUGGUAAGGUAACGGCUUACCAAGGCAACGAUGCGUAGCCGACCUGAGAGGGUGAUCGGCCACACUGGAACUGAGACACGGUCCAGACUCCUACGGGAGGCAGCAGUAGGGAAUCUUCCGCAAUGGGCGAAAGCCUGACGGAGCAACGCCGCGUGAGUGAUGAAGGUCUUCGGAUCGUAAAACUCUGUUAUUAGGGAAGAACAAAUGUGUAAGUAACUAUGCACGUCUUGACGGUACCUAAUCAGAAAGCCACGGCUAACUACGUG